GUAUAGAUGCAGUGACUGAGACUGGGAGAUGCAGUGACUGAAACCUGGUGUGUUCCAGAAAAAGGUCCUGAAACUACUGGUCGACAUCCGCCAUCGCCUGAAGGAAACCAGAAGGGGUCAUGAAAUUCGGUUCCACAGCCACUGAGGUGUAUGUACAUCAAGGUGAACCUCAAGCACGCGUCGCAAAGACUUAAAUUCACUUCGCCCUAAUGAGCCAAGCCUAC